AGUUCGGUUCGUUUCCCAUCUCUACCCAACCAAAACGCAAACAACAACAGUUUAAGCUCUCGCUAUUCGGAGGUAACACAUUGCAGAUAGCAAACAUGGACAACACACUUCUCCACAUUCCGAAUAGAGGUCAAAGCACAGACAACACACUACACAUUCAUUAUAAAACUCUCGCUUAUCCCGUGUGAUAAUAUUUCUCGGAAGAGCUCUGGUAUAUUCGACCUCUUCGUUUGUUUCUUCUUGUGUGUGUGUUGUUGUUUUUGUACCCAACAAAAGUAUUAUCUUGUGUGUAGACGAUAAGAUUAUUGAAGUUUGUGACUUGGGAGUCUUUGGGAUGUUUACCAACAAGCUGUUUUACUGUACCACUGAGGCAUUUAGAAAUAAAGACUACAGACAUGGAGUUUAUAAUCUAGGACUAGGCAUAAUCUGAAGCUCACAGAAGGAUGUCAGCUGGUCUACGUGUGGUCAGAGGUCCCAACUGGGUCUACGGAAACGAUGAUGGAGGUGAAGGUCACGUCGGCACAGUGAUAGAAGUCCACGAUGGUCACCAACGAGCCACUGUGCUGUGGGACAACGGAUCUGAACAUGUCUAUAGAAUUGGUCUGGACAACGCCUUUGAUCUCCGCGUUUUCGAUUCAGCUCAAUCAGUUCGCCUGGCUGGGAUCGCAACAAUGCAACACAACGAGGUGUCAGAAUGUCACAGGGCAGUCUUUCUGUUGUCAGUGCAGAAAAUGAUGACGUGUGCCACUUAAGCCAGUGACACCCAAACUGCCGAGUCCUGCCCCUGGCGCAGUUCAAAGUCUUCCCUCUUGAAAGCGUCUUCCCACAAUGCAUCAAAUCGGCCUUCAU
rnacentral:sRNA from 1 species